GACGAACGCUGGCGGCGUGCUUAACACAUGCAAGUCGAACGGAAAGGCCCUGCUUUUGUGGGGUGCUCGAGUGGCGAACGGGUGAGUAACACGUGAGUAACCUGCCCUUGACUUUGGGAUAACUUCAGGAAACUGGGGCUAAUACCGGAUAGGAGCUCCUGCUGCAUGGUGGGGGUUGGAAAGUUUCGGCGGUUGGGGAUGGACUCGCGGCUUAUCAGCUUGUUGGUGGGGUAGUGGCUUACCAAGGGUUUGACGGGUAGCCGGCCUGAGAGGGUGACCGGCCACAUUGGGACUGAGAUACGGACCAGACUCCUACGGGAGGCAGCAGUGGGGAAUAUUGCACAAUGGGCGGAAGCCUGAUGCAGCAACGCCGCGUGCGGGAUGACGGCCUUCGGGUUGUAAACCGCUUUCGCCUGUGACGAAGCGUGAGUGACGGUAAUGGGUAAAGAAGCACCGGCUAACUACGUG
rnacentral:rRNA from 1 species